GAUGAACGCUAGCUACAGGCUUAACACAUGCAAGUCGAGGGGUAACGAGAGGAAAGCUUGCUUUCCUUGUCGACGACCGGCGCACGGGUGAGUAACGCGUAUCCAACCUGCCCCCAACUAGGGAAUAACCUUGCGAAAGUAAGACUGAUACCCUAUAAUUUCCUCAGAUGUCAUCUGACGAGGAAUAAAGAUUUAUCGGUUGUGGAUGGGGAUGAGUCUGAUUAGCUUGUUGGCGGGGUAACGGCCCACCAAGGCAACGAUCAGUAGGGGUUCUGCGAGGAAGGUCCCCCACAUUGGAACUGAGACACGGUCCAAACGCCUACGGGAUGCAGCAGUGAGGAAUAUUGGUCAAUGGGCGGAAGCCUGAACCAGCCAAGUAGCGUGCAGGAUGACGGCCCUAUGGGUUGUAAACUGCUUUUAUACAGGAAUAAAGUUAGCCACGUGUGGUUAUUUGUUGGUACUGUAUGAAUAAGGACCGGCUAAUUCCGUGCCAGCAGCCGCCGUAA
rnacentral:rRNA from 1 species